GUGGGGAAUCUUAGACAAUGGGCGCAAGCCUGAUCUAGCCAUGCCGCGUGAGCGAUGAAGGCCUUAGGGUUGUAAAGCUCUUUCAGCUGGGAAGAUAAUGACGGUACCAGCAGAAGAAGCCCCGGCUAACUCCGUGCCAGCAGCCGCGGUAAUACGGAGGGGGCUAGCGUUGUUCGGAAUUACUGGGCGUAAAGCGCACGUAGGCGGAUCAGAAAGUCAGAGGUGAAAUCCCAGGGCUCAACCUUGGAACUGCCUUUGAAACUCCUGAUCUUGAGGUCGAGAGAGGUGAGUGGAAUUCCGAGUGUAGAGGUGAAAUUCGUAGAUAUUCGGAGGAACACCAGUGGCGAAGGCGGCUCACUGGCUCGAUACUGACGCUGAGGUGCGAAAGCGUGGGGAGCAAACAGGAUUAGAUACCCCAGUAGUCC
rnacentral:rRNA from 1 species